rnacentral:rRNA from 1 species
UCCUACGGGAGGCAGCAGUGAGGAAUAUUGGUCAAUGGACGCAAGUCUGAACCAGCCAUGCCGCGUGCAGGAUGACGGCUCUAUGAGUUGUAAACUGCUUUUGUACGAGGGUAAACGCAGAUACGUGUAUCUGUCUGAAAGUAUCGUACGAAUAAGGAUCGGCUAACUCCGUGCCAGCAGCCGCGGUAAUACGGAGGAUUCAAGCGUUAUCCGGAUUUAUUGGGUUUAAAGGGUGCGUAGGCGGUUUGAUAAGUUAGAGGUGAAAUUUCGGGGCUCAACCCUGAACGUGCCUCUAAUACUGUUGAGCUAGAGAGUAGUUGCGGUAGGCGGAAUGUAUGGUGUAGCGGUGAAAUGCUUAGAGAUCAUACAGAACACCGAUUGCGAAGGCAGCUUACCAAACUAUAUCUGACGUUGAGGCACGAAAGCGUGGGGAGCAAACAGGAUUAGAUACCCUGGUAGUCCACGCAGUAAACGAUGAUAACUCGUUGUCGGCGAUACACAGUCGGUGACUAAGCGAAAGCGAUAAGUUAUCCACCUGGGGAGUACGUUCGCAAGAAUGAAACUCAAAGGAAUUGACGGGGGCCCGCACAAGCGGAGGAACAUGUGGUUUAAUUCGAUGAUACGCGAGGAACCUUACCCGGGCUUGAAAGUUAGCGACGAUUCUUGAAAGAGGAUUUCCCUUCGGGGCGCGAAACUAGGUGCUGCAUGGUUGUCGUCAGCUCGUGCCGUGAGGUGUCGGGUUAAGUCCCAUAACGAGCGCAACCCCUACCGUUAGUUGCCAUCAGGUGAAGCUGGGCACUCUGGCGGGACUGCCGGUGUAAGCCGAGAGGAAGGUGGGGAUGACGUCAAAUCAGCACGGCCCUUACGUCCGGGGCUACACACGUGUUACAAUGGUAGGUACAGAGGGCAGCUACCCAGCGAUGGGAUGCGAAUCUCGAAAGCCUAUCUCAGUUCGGAUUGGAGGCUGAAACCCGCCUCCAUGAAGUUGGAUUCGCUAGUAAUCGCGCAUCAGCCAUG